rnacentral:rRNA from 1 species
GACGAACGCUGGCGGCGUGCUUAACACAUGCAAGUCGAUCGAAGAGCGAUGGAAGCUUGCUUCUAUCAAUCUUAGUGGCGAACGGGUGAGUAACGCGUAAUCAACCUGCCCUUCAGAGGGGGACAACAGUUGGAAACGACUGCUAAUACCGCAUACGAUCUAAUCUCGGCAUCGAGGAUAGAUGAAAGGUGGCCUCUACAUGUAAGCUAUCACUGAAGGAGGGGAUUGCGUCUGAUUAGCUAGUUGGAGGGGUAACGGCCCACCAAGGCGAUGAUCAGUAGCCGGUCUGAGAGGAUGAACGGCCACAUGGGGACUGAGACACGGCCCAGACUCCUACGGGAGGCAGCAGUGGGGAAUCUUCCGCAAUGGACGAAAGUCUGACGGAGCAACGCCGCGUGAGCGAUGACGGCCUUCGGGUUGUAAAGCUCUGUUAAUCGGGACGAAAGGCCUUCUUGCGAAUAGUGAGAAGGAUUGACGGUACCGGAAUAGAAAGCCACGGCUAACUACGUG